rnacentral:rRNA from 1 species
UGGGGAAUAUUGCACAAUGGAGGGAACUCUGAUGCAGCGACGCCGCGUGAACGAAGAAGGCUUUCGAGUCGUAAAGUUCUUUUAUAUGGGAAGAUAAUGACGGUACCAUAAGAAAAAGCCCCGGCUAACUACGUGCCAGCAGUCGCGGUAAUACGUAGGGGGCUAGCGUUGUCCGGAAUCACUGGGCGUAAAGGGUUCGCAGGCGGAAAUGCAAGUCCGGUGUAAAAGGCAGUAGCUUAACUACUGUAAGCAUUUGAAACUGCAUAUCUUGAGAAGAGUAGAGGUAAGUGGAAUUUUUAGUGUAGCGGUGAAAUGCGUAGAUAUUAAAAAGAAUACCGGUGGCGAAGGCGACUUACUGGGCUCAUUCUGACGCUGAGGAACGAAAGCGUGGGUAGCAAACAGG